UCCGGUUCGUUUACCUUGAAUAAAUUAGAGUGUUCAAAGCGGGCAAGCACAAGCCUAGAUACUUUAGCAUGGGAUAAUAGAAUAGGACUUGGGUUCUAUUUUCGUUGGUUCUUAGGACCGAAGUAAUGAUUAAUAGGGACGGUCGGGGGCAUUAGUAUUUAAUUGUCAGAGGUGAAAUUCUCGGAUUUAGGAAAGACUGACUUCAGCGAAAGCAUUUGCCAAGGACGUUUUCAUUAAUCAAGAACGAAAGUUAGGGGAUCGAAGACGAUCAGAUACCGUCGUAGUCUUAACCAUAAACGAUGCCGACCAGGGAUCGGAAGACGUUACCUCGAUGACUCUUCCGGCACCUUGCGGGAAACCACAAGUCUUUGGGUUCCGGGGGGAGUAUGGUCGCAAGGCUGAAACUUAAAGGAAUUGACGGAAGGGCACCACCAGGAGUGGAGCCUGCGGCUUAAUUUGACUCAACACGGGGAAACUUACCAGGUCCGGACAUAGGAAGGAUUGACAGAUCGAUAGCUCUUUCUUGAUUCUAUGGGUGGUGGUGCAUGGCCGUUCUUAGUUGGUGGAGCGAUUUGUCUGGUUAAUUCCGUUAACGAACGAGACCUCGGCCUGCUAAAUAGCCAUGCGAACCCUUCCGCCGAAAGAGGAUACGGUCCCGGGGGGUCCACGCGCCUCCUCAGCUCGCCCCCUCGCGGGGGAAGGAGGGGGGGGGCGCGCCCUCGGCUCGAUCGCCCUCUGGUGGGGUUCGUAGCGGCGCUUCUUAGAGGGACUAUGCAAUCCCAGUGCAUGGAAGUUCGAGGCAAUAACAGGUCUGUGAUGCCCUUUAGAUGUUCUGGGCCGCACGCGCGCUACACUGACGAGCUCAACGAGCGUAACUUUCUCCUCGGCCGGAAGGUCCGGGCAAUCUUGGAAAGCUCGUCGUGCUGGGGAUAGAUCCUUGCAAUUAUGGAUCUUCAACGAGGAA
rnacentral:rRNA from 1 species